rnacentral:rRNA from 1 species
GAGUACAGUGGCGCACGGGUGAGUAACACGUGACUUAUCUACCCUCGAGUGGGGAAUAACUUCGGGAAACCGAGGCUAAUACCGCAUAAUACCCACGGGUCAAAGGAGCAAUUCGCUUGAGGAGGAGGUCGCGGCCGAUUAGUUAGUUGGCGGGGUAAUGGCCCCACCCAAGACGGUGAUCGGUAUCCGGCCUGAGAGGGCGCACGGACACACUGGAACUGAAACACGGUCCAGACUCCUACGGGAGGCAGCAGUGGGGAAUUUUGCGCAAUGGGGGAAACCCUGACGCAGCAACGCCGCGUGGAGGAUGAAGUCUCUUGGGACGUAAACUCCUUUCGAUCGGGACGAUUUAUGACGGUACCGGAAGAAGAAGCCCCGGCUAACUUCGUG